GUUUGAGGGAACUUGCCCUUUACUUGCAGAUCAAGUUCUUGUCUUUCUGUUUGCGUCUGUAUGAUUGGCUACUAAGAGGAAGAGAUUGAGGAAAUUAAUGGCAUCAAGAUCCCCCACAAACUUUUUGGACCUGGCUUCUGGAGAUUUACUGGAUGUCCCUCGUACACCCAGGUCCCUGCCACGGGUAAUGACUGUUCCUGGAAUUAUUUCUGAAUUGGAUGAUUAUGGAAGUAAUGAUGGAGAUUCGGAG
rnacentral:misc_RNA from 1 species